rnacentral:lncRNA from 1 species
GCGAGAGAGAGAGAGAGAGAGAGAGAGGAUGGAGGGGGCAGUGGGAGAGGGAGUGAGAGAGAGAGAGAGAGAGGAUGGAGGGGGCAGUGGGAGAGGGAGAGAGAGAGAGAGAGAGGAUGAGGGGGCAGUGGGAGAGGGAGAGAGAGAAGAUGGAGGGGGCAGUGGGAGAGGGAGAGAGAGAGAGGAUGGAGGGGGCAGUGGGAGAGGGAGAGAGAGAGAGAGAGAGAGAGAGAGAGAGAGAGAGUGAGAGAGAGAGAGAAUGGAGGGGGCAGUGGGAGAGGGAGCGAGAGGCGAGAGAGAGGAUGGAGGGGGCAGUGGGAGAGGGAGAGAGAGAGAGAGAGAGAGAGAGAGGAUGGAGGGGGCAGUGGGAGAGAGAGAGAGAGAGAGAGAGAGAGAGAGAGAGAGGAUGGAGGGGCAGUGGGAGAGGGAGAGAGAGAGAGAGGAUGGAGGGGGGCCGUGGGAGAGGGAGAGAGGAUGGAGGGGGCAGUGGGAGAUGGAGAGAGAGAGAGGAUGGAGGGGGCCGUGGGGAGAGGGAGGAGAGAGAGAGGAUGGAGGGGGCCGUGGGAGAGGGAGAGAGAGAGAGGAUGGAGGGGGCAGUGGGAGAGGGGAGAGCGAGAGAGAGAGAGAGAGAGGGGGGGGAUGGAGGGGGCAUGGAGGAGGGAGAGAAGAGAGGAGAGAGAGAGAGAGAGAGAGAUGGGAUGGAGGGCAGUGGAGAGGGAGAGAGAGAGAGAUGGGAUGGAGGGGGCAGUGGGAGAGGGAGAGAGAGAGAGGGGAUGGAGGGGCAGUGGGAGAGGGAGAGAGAGAGAGAGGGGGGAUGGAGGGGGCAGUGGGAGAGGGAGAGAGAGAGAGGGGAUGGAGGGGGCUAGUGGGAGAGGGAGAGAGAGAGAGGGGAUGGAGGGGGCAGUGGGAGAGGGAGAGAGAGGGGGGAUGGAGGGGCAGUGGGAGAGGGAGAGAGAGAGAGAGGGGGGAUGGAGGGGGCAGUGGGAGAGGGAGAGAGAGAGGGGGGAUAGAGGGGCAGUGGGAGAGGGAAGAGAGAGAGAAAGAGAGAGGAUGGAGGGGGCCGUGGGAGAGGGAGAGAGGAGAAGAGAAGAGGGGG